AGGCUGUGGGCAGGCUCUGAGCCCUGUGCCCAUGGGUCAGUCAUGCCAUGGGGUCUGGGCACGAUGCAGGAUCUGCCCCUGUGCAUCCCCACCUUUCCCCUAAAGCACGGGUUUGAUGCAGGGUUUUGGGGUGCACACCCAGCUGAGGCCUCGUGCUGGCUCUUUGCUGUGCUUUGAGGCUCAAUGUUGAUUUUUGGCCCCUUGGUGCCCUCUUUGGGCCCCAGCUGCUCUCAGCCAUCGCCGGCUGCGAUCGGUGCGGCACUCAGCUCCCUCGGCUUCGAAGGACGCAGCGUGUGGUCCGCUCCGCCGCUGCCAUGGCAACGCUGGGAUGCAAAACCAUGGUUUAAAACCCAAAACAAAUAAAUCCUCCACACCACAAAGCCCAAAGCAUCCUUCUCGCCUUGCUUUCCCCGGCCCAUUUUGUUUUCCCCUCUUGGGACCCGACGAGGAGCUGGUGCUGCCAGGCAAUGACUGCGGUGUCCUGGGUUCCUCGUGUGCCCGUCUCCCGAGGCCGUGUCUCGGGCAGACACUGCUCCAGGCAGGAUUUAAACCUGUUCCUACCCAGGUCUGAAAUCCGUUCUUGGUUGCUUCAUGCCCAGAGAGAGCAACCUCUCAAUUCCUUCACACCCAGUUGCAAAGACCUUGGCAACCCCCCUGCAUCCAAAGCAAGGCGCUGAGCGAGAGAGAAACGAAUCCCACAGCAAGGGGCUGAAAACUCCUCCAGAGAGAGCCGCCUGCCUCCUCCAGCACCCAUCACCCAGCCCUGUCCUCUGGUCACUAUUAAAGCCUUUCAGCCCAGGCACGGAGUGGAAUGAAGCUGUCGAAACCUUUCUGCGGUGAUGUUCCAGAGCCGGCUUCCUGAAGCCCCUGAGUGCCAAGAAGCGUAUAGAGAUACAGAGGGAAUAAACAGCAGAAAGUGCCUAAACAAGCCCAAACAGAUUGGGAACUCAAAUCUCGCAAACCGUAUGCGGCUUCACGCUUCAAAUCACCUUAAGUAUUUGCAGCGCGCGCUAGGAUCGCCUUUCUAUCAUAAUUAAAUAUGUCUGUCUGCGAGCAAAGGGAGGAGAGCUUAGGGGAGUUGUCACCAUCCUUAAUCCCAGCUGCCAUUCCUCAGCAGCAAAAUGGCUUUGGGGAGGAGAAAGAGCCUCCUGGUCUGGACUUUGAGAAAUAUCCCACGUCUUUGCAUGCUGCUUUGGGGUUUUAAAGACAAAGGGAGUGCAGCCCGGGGAGGAGAGCGGGGAUUUGGGGCCAGGAGGGGUGUUUGUGGAGAUGGGGCUCAAUGGGCUGAGUGUUGGGUUUAUGGGGUAGCUUUGGGGGUGAAGGAAGGGGGACGGGUGGUCAGGGGAAGGAGAAGCCCUCAUCCACUCACUGGGGUUGUGGAAAGGGGCUGGGGAAGGGCUCAGAGUGGCUCCCAAAUUUUGGGCCUCAACCAAAGGCAGCACCCCAAGCAGCCGUGACCCCGGCGUCCCAAAUCCUCAGUGGAGAGCUCUGGCUUCUCCCCGGGGCAGGGCGACAACGUUUUCAUUGAUAAAAACGGGGCUGGUUUUGUGCGGAGCUGCCGGUGUGAUCUCACCGAAUGGGAAAUCAAUGGGAGCCCGAUAUUAAUUAACAGCAUCUGCAGAGGGGGCAGCCAUUAAAAUAACGCUGAAUGGAGUUUUGCAGCGGGCACCUGGGUGGAACUGGUUCUCGGCGGCAGAUGCCUCCAUCCCUGUUUUCUUCUGCCUCCCUCCUCCAUCGAUUUCUCCCCCUUGCAGCUCCUGUUUCCCCUGGCUUCAGCCCUGCUCCUGCUCCAGGCUUUCGGGGGGGCCCCGCCACGAGCUGCUGAAGGUCAGAGCGGCUGCUGCCUUCCACCGGGGCCGCCUCCGGAGAGUAAACAAUAAUUAACCUUAAAUUAAAACUGGUUGUAAUCUUUGAUUACCCGCCUGGUUGUGCGAUGUGCCAAAGCCCAUUUUGUUUCUGGUUUCCUUGGAGAUACCACCCGGUCUCCCCACCCCCUUCCAGCUCUGGCUUUUUUAAAGCAGGUUUAAAAACAGCUAUUAGGAGAGCUUGUUAAUCAUCAUACCAGGCUGCUAAUAGCACUCUGGCCACAGUUAAUCACGGCGAGCUGCAAAGAUGCUGCAAAUGCUUUCAGUGGAUGUAAUUUCCCCCCUACAUUCCUCCCUUCCAUUGCAUCCCCCUUCCCUUUUUAGCAGAAGCCUCUUCUCCACCCGAGGUGGGAAAUUUGGAUGCAUGGUGCUGCUUGUUUUUUUUGUUUUUUUUUUUUUUUUUUUUUUAAUUUUCCUCCAUUGGUUUGCUGGCGGUGGCACCUCCACUGAAGCAGGGAAGCACCGAGCCCUCUUUGCCGUGCAGCUGAGCAGCAGCAGCACUUUCCUGUUGGGUUUUGAGGGAUCUGGGGCUGUGCACCAGGAGUUGGGGGGGUCUCUGGGUCCAUUAACAGCAGGUUGUGGCUGCAGCCUCCUUCCUCCAACAUCACGAGAACUUCUUUAUACCCACCAGUGCCCCAUGUUUUGGGAGUGCCAUCAGUGAGCUUGCAGCAUCCCUCUCACCGAGGCAAUGAGUGGAUGGGGGUGAAGCAGGAGGUAACGCACACGUUCCUGGGCUGCCUUCGUUGCCGGAGCAUCCUCCUCCUCCUCCUCCUCCCUGGAGCUCCUCCAGCUUCGUGCUGCUGUAGGCGGAGGCAGGUUUGGCCUCCAGGGCCUCGAGUUUGUAAAUCAGUUCAGCACGUUGGUUUGUUGGUUUUUGUUCUCCACGUUGCUUAAGUGCUUGGCUGUGUGAGGCCAGAACAGCGGCCGGGGCCGUAAUCGAUAGCUCCAUGGAGACGGGAGGAGCAGCAUCACCUUGGCUGGUGUAAAUCAGGAGUGGGACCGGGGGGGUCGAGCCUCCAAAACUCGCUGGCCCCGGCACCCCCCGUGCUGCUCUGGCCCUAUUUGGAGGCAUUUGAGCGGGGCGACCCUGCCUGAGCGCUAAUUGUGGCUCUGGCUGCUCCUGCUGAAAUGACAGAUAGGGGACGGUCCUGCUAGUUGACAAUAAUUGUUCUCCUAAUUACAGCAGUGACAUUUACUGGAAAGCCACUGCAAUCCCAUUACCUUCUAAUGCUAAAUUCUGCGACUUUAAAAUUGCAUUCCCUGCCUCCUUCCCCCCAUCUGAAACCCUCUGGGCAUGGGCUUGUUCGCUGCAUCUGCCACCACGCGAUGGGGUUUGGGGUCUUGCUGAGGGGGUACUGGUAUUUUGGGGGGUUGUUAUCCCUUUGCCUGGCUGGGCGAUGCUGAAUGAUGAUUCCCCUGUAGAGGACCCAAUGUCCACCCCAAAAGGCGACAGUGGCACCCAGGGUCCCCACAAGAUCAGGGGACACCUGUUGGCACCCCGAGGGAUUUCUACAGCAUUUCUCUUCCAAAUCGCAGGUAGCCCGCUCGAGCCUGUGCGUUCUUGUUCUCCAGCCAUAAACAAGCGGAAGGUGCCUGUGAAUAAUUAAUUUU